rnacentral:lncRNA from 1 species
GAACUAGUGCGUAAUAAUUGUUGUUGUGACUUGUUCUUCGUCGUUAUCUUCUUUUCCUCUGUGUCUGUUUUUUGGUACCUGAGAAAAUGUCUUGCUGUGGUGGUAACUGUGGUUGCGGAAGUGGCUGCAAGUGCGGCAACGGCUGCUCAGGGUGAGUGAGGUUAUAGUGCCUUUGUUGUGUCUUCGUUUUAUAUGUCGGAAAAUGGUUUUCCUUUUGGGAGGGUCUUCUUCCUGGAUUUUAACUUGCUUUAUGGAGACCCUUUUGGCUGAACUGCAUGAAAGUUCACGCUUUGUUAAUUUUCUUGCAUGGGGAUAUUGUGAUAACCUGAACAUUUAUUUUGCUUGUACAGAACAUGUAGAUUUGUUUUUCUUCUACACGGGAAGGUUUCUGGGGUUUUUUUAUUUCUAUCUGGGUACCCUUUUUUGUUGAAUUUGUAUAAAAGUUAGUACUUUUAAUUUUUUUUUUCUUCUUACUUGCGUUUUUGCGAGUUAAACUCUGACCGCUUUGAUGGUCUCUUUCACUUGUUUAAAGAUUGCGGUGUUUCGAUUUAUUUGGCUUUUUGGAUACCCUUUGAGUUGAUCUAUGGUUGUUAGAAUCUCCACGAGGAUUUUAUUUCUGGGAAAAUGUUUCUGGGAGUCCUGAUACAUGUUGAAUGUGAAUUCACCUGAUCAUGAUGCAAAUGAACCAUAUUAAAUGUUUGUGCACUGUUAAGAAGAGAGAAACGCAAUGUUUUCAUGUUAAAAUAAUCAUGAGAGGAUUUUUUACCCCUGUGUUGUUUAAAUUUCCCUUAGACUUUUUGUUUUCUUAAUUUUUUUGUUUUUGGUUGUUCUGCAGCUGCAAGAUGUACCCAGACUUGAGCUACACGGAGCAGACAACCACUGAGACUUUGGUCAUGGGAGUGGCACCUGUUAAGGCUCAAUUCGAAGGUGCUGAAAUGGGUGUUUCUGGUGAGAAUGGUGGCUGCAAGUGUGGAGGUAACUGCCAAUGCGACCCCUGUACUUGCAAGUGAGGUUGGAUUGCGAAAGCUUGAAGCAGAGAUUGGACCUUAAUUAGCAUUAGCAGCAGGAAUAAUUACAAUAAUUAACUAUUAUCUGUUUUUUAAAAAGCUUACAAAAAUUUAUGUCUUUGUUUCUGUUUUCGUGUACUCUGGUGUUAGGUCUAAACACCCUUUAGAAUAAAGUGAUCAUGUCUUGCCCUUGAACAAGUUCAAGUGUUAUGGACUUGUGGUGGGAUUAUCUAGCCAUGGUUACUUUGGUUUGUUCUGUGUAAAGUUGGCUAAUCAGAAGUAUCAGUCUCUGCUUAUAAUAUUAUAUUCCUGGAAAAAGUGAGUGUUUUAUGUGAUUUUGUUGAUAAUUUUACUUAUAUUCGAUAAGCAAAUUUUAAACAAGAAAAUAAUUUGAAAACUAAAAGAAGAUGUUUUGAAAGUAAUUGUUUGUGGAGUGAAAAUAGAAGAUUAUUUGUCUCCAUUUGUUGUGGAGGUAGCAUGGUGUGGUCACUGUUGGUCCCCUUCUGGUUGAAGACUGAAGAUGGAGAGUUUGAGUCCAUGUGCGUAUUUCUGAAACAAUUGGCAGAUUACUAUUGUGAUGGUUACAGUUAUUGUGGCUCUUUCUGAACAAUCUUAAUCAUUUUCAACUUUUUCAUUCACAAGAAAUUUAUAAAAUCCAUAAAACUGGAGUGGUGAUAUACCGACACAAAGACAAUAUAGACAAAAUAUGUAUUUAUCUUUUAAAAUUAUUAAUAUAUAUUAUUAUAUGUUUAAAGUUUUUCUUAACUGUUUAAAGUGAACUAAUAAAGAAAGUGAUAUAUAUAUAUAUAUGUGCCCGUGUGUGCAUAUAUAUAUAUAUAUAACACGCACGAACACAACAUAUUGGAAGGAGCUUCUAACUACGCAAUUGUAGUAAGUUUUAAGGACUGAUUUUAAAACAAAUAUUUUUAUUUAACUUAUCUUCCAAUAAGGGUCAAUUCUUUUUAAAUAAAAAUGUUUAAUUUUUGAAUAUUCUAAUUUAACUUUUGCUAAGUUAAAACUUGUGUCAAAUAUUUUGAGUUAAAACGCGUCUCUAAGUUACAAAAUUUAAAGAAUUAAAUAUUUUAUAAAUUGAGGGAUAAAAUAAAUUUAAUAAUGAUUUAUAGAACACUAGAAAAAAAAAACAAUUUACGAACUUAAAUAAAAUUUUAUCACAUUAAAUUUUAAAUUUUAAAAAUAAUUUUUCAAUAAUACUAAUAAUAUAUUAAUAUUCUAAAAUUUAUUUGAGUCUAAAUUAUUAAAAAAAUUAUUAAUAUAAAAUUAAUAUUUCAAAAUUGAUUUAAUAUACACACUCACUGUGAAUAAAAAUCAUCACUAUGUGCAGUAACUGACCCACUUAAAAAGAAGGGAUGCCGUUGAUAAUCUUAAGGACUUCUUCACAAGCAAUUCUGUGGAGAAUAAUUUACCCUUUACUUUAUACAAUUGAGAUUUCUUGAAAACACUGAAAAAAUAAACUUUUUCUUUUCUUUUAAGAUUAUAAAUUUUAUUAAUUCAGUAUUUUAAUUGUUUGACAUUAAAAAUUAAGAAUUUAAUAGAUUGUUUUUACACUGUUUAAAACUUUUAUCACAAUUUAUCACUGAGUUAAGUUUUUUCUUUAUCUAAUAGAUUCUAUUUAGAAAAAUAUAAUGCAUAGAUUACAGAUAUAUUAAUUAAAAAUUAUUUAGUAUUAUCCUGUCAAAAAAUUAUAUUCAAUAUUCUAUUAAUAAAAUAAAAAUAUUUUGAUUAUAUUCUUGCUAUUAUUCAACUUUGAACAAUUUAAUGUGUUGUUAUAACUUUCAUCAGAUUAAUUAAAAUAUUUUCAUAUAUGAAUGAUUAAUGAUGUACUAUUCUAAAAUGUUUAUUAAUAAUUGGUAGUUAUCAUAACGUUUAAAAAUUAAAGUUUAGCAGUAUGAUUAACUAUGAAUACAUGUAGGGCUAACUUGAGGACAAGAAUAUUAAUAUAACAUUUAAUAAUGUACUUUAUUGAAAAGAGACAAGUUGAAGUCUUGGAUCAGCACCAUGCAUUAUUGUUUUUUGUUCCUAUCCUUGGAACUAGAUAACUAUGUUGUCUUGUUGGGAAAUCAUGAAAAUGAAAAUUGGUCUGACUUUUUUAUUUACCUCUGAGCAAGAAACCACCUAGAAUUAGUAACUUAUGACUCUAUUUACUCAAAACUGAAAAAAAGAAGAGCAAUAAAUGAAUAAUAUGUGUUAUUUUACUUAGCCAGAUCUUGAAAAUGUAACUUAUAUGAAAUUAGUCUAUUAUUCAUUAAAAGAUAAAUUCAAUAAAAUUAUUUAAAAUUUUAUUCAAGAAUAAAUUAAUGUCUAUUUGAUUCUUGAAAUUAGUUGAAAAAUAUACAUAUUUUAAAAAUGAGAUAAUACUAUUUAAAAAUUAAAGAAUAAUAGAAAACUAAGUAUGAUUUAUGAAAGAUAUAUUUUAUUAUAAAUAAGGGGAUUUGAAUACUCUGAUUUGUGUUCCUUCAAGUCAAAAUAACCAAAUUUUUAAUCAACAAAAUCAAAAGAAUUUUUUUCUUCAACACUUUGUUGAAAAAAUUAAUGUGAAAAAGAAUUAGAAAAUUCCAUAAAUUCUAAACUUCUAUUCUAAAUUCUCAUUCGAUGAACCCUGAAGAAUCUCGAUGAACCUCUCGGCAUAAAAGACUCCAUUUUAAACAAUAAAAAGAAACAUAAGUAGAAAGAGAAGAAACGCUUAAAAAUGACCACCAUAAUUCAGCGAAUUCCACUUAAACUUGCUUUUGUUUUGGAGCAACAAAAAAGGUAAGGUGAAGGAAGAGAGCAAGUGCUUUAAAUAUUGUCAUUGGUCUUGCAACGGUACACUUCUCUUCAAAUAAAAGUUUUCUAUUAGUCACUCUUUAUUACUAACCUUUAGCUUGAAAACUUUUAGAAAAAUAAAAGGAAAAAUAAUAAUAAUUUUUUAAAAUUAUAUAUAGUUUUAAUAUAUUUAAUUAUUAAUUCUUAGAAUAUUAUAAAUAAUUAUUACUUUUGUUUAAGAGAUGAAAUAUCUGUUUUUGGUGCAUCAGGAAAUAAAAUAUUUAAUAACAAUUCACAAUUAUAAUAUUAUUAUAAGUUUAUUUCUAAAUUACAUCGUUUAAAAAUUAAUGUAUAUAAUUAUUUUUUUACAUUAAAUAAAAAUAUAUUACUUAAUUAAAUUAUUUGUUUAAAAAAUAAUGAUUUUGAAUUUUCAUUUCUUAUUACUUUAAUUACCUUAAUAUUUUUUAUUUUAAUGUUAAACUAAUCAGACCCCAGUAUAAAAACUAAAAAUAUAAUAUUACAAAUGUCAAGAUGUAAAAUUACAAAUAUAAACAAAAUCAUUUAUAAACUAAAAAUAUAUUUAAUUUUAUUUUGAUUACAUUUUAUUUUAUUUUUUUGGACAUUUAUCACUCUGCAACUUUACUUUGAAAAGAAAAAAAAAUUAUAUUAACGAGUCUCAACUUUUACCAACUAAAUUGACAAAAAAAAUAGCAUACACUAUUUUAUUGAAUAAUAAGGGUAUAGAAUUUUUUUUUAUUUCAUUCUUUCUUGUAAAAUAUUAAUUAAAUAUGAUUCAAAUUUCAUUGUGUUAUAUUUUCUUAAAUGAAUAUUUUUUAGUUUAUUGUGUUUAAUUUGAAUAAAACUCUUCUCUACAAUAAAUUUUUAUGUUACUAAAUUUUUUUAGGUUAUCAAAAUGUUAGAUUAUGUUUAUCCUCGGCCUCCAACUCGGUUGAAUUGAUAAAAUUAUUAACUAUGUUUAGCUUCGAUCCCAGCUCAGUUGAAUUGAUAAAACUACUGACUAUGUUUAGCCUCGACCCUAGCUCGGUUGGAUUGAUAGAACUAUUGACUAUGUUCAGUCUCGAUUCGACCUCGACCCCAACUCGAGUGGAUUGUUAAAAUGCUAUAAUCAUCCGCCGACUCAGCUGAAACAUUAAAAGAUUAAGACAUCUACAAAAAUCGACUUUAUUAGGUUGUAACUACAAAAAUCGACCUUAUUAGACAAUAUCUACAAAGACUAACCUUAUUAGGCAAUACUAAUUUACCUCUACUGACAUUUAACCCCGUGUGACACGAGUUUAUUUUUCUGAACUUUGGCAAUUGUGGAAGCUUAGGUUGUAUGAUAAUUUGAAGUAUAAGCAAUCGAUAAAACGUUGAGAACAAACUAACACGAUCAUAAAUCGAUUAAACAACUUAUGUCAUAUUAGACGAUCUAAUAUUUUUAUGUACGACCAUAAAUCGAUUAGGCACAACUUACAUUGUAAUUUGUUUUCGUAUUUUUUACUAGAUAAACCUCUUAGCCUACUUGUCUUAAGGUUGAGGUCUUCGUCUACUCAUCUUAAGGUUGGAGAGAUGUGUGUAUCAAUAGUUAGUUUGAUCUUCUAUUAGGAGGGAAUGUAAUUGAUUUAGGGUUAGUUGUAGAGUCUAUUAAUCAAAGAUUUAAUAAAACUACUCAUAAAGGGAUAUCUACUUGUAGUACUUGCAAUCAAUUAAGAAAGAUACAAAUUUUAAAAAUUAUAUAUUAUUAGUUAAUAUUUAGAGAAUAAUAAACAAUUAACUAUGACUUAUAAAAUAUAUCUCUCAAGACAACUAAACUUUACAUUAUAAGAUAACUAAACUUGAAUGUUGUGGUUUAAAGUCAUUUUGAACCAGAAUAAUAUGAUUGGUAUGAAACAUGCAAGGGCGUAGAAAGAAAAGAGAGGUUGGAAUGUGAUAAAAGAGAAAAAAAAAAGUAAUAAAUAUUGUAAACCCUUUCUAGCAGAUUAAAAAAAAAUAAAACUUUAGUUAUUUUCAUUUUCAAUAUUGAUAAUAUGAGCCUCUUUUGUUUAUCUCAACAUAAAAAAAAUUUCUGUUUUCAACUGAACCUUGAGAAUGAUUCAUGCGUGUGACCUACUUGUACCUGCUCAUGAAAAGGCAUAUUGUUUGUAAUUUAUAUAACUUCAACUGAAUAAAGUCAUAAACACUGCAGAUGUAGGCAAGAGAAUAUUAGAACUAGCUGACACUAUGUUACAAAGAUCACACUUUUUUAACGAUAGGUAAAGUAUGUUAUGAUUAGGUUGUUACAACAUACAAGAACACAAAGCAACUUGAGAAUAGGUUGCUAGUGGCGGCAAUGGUACGGUGGUAAUAAAUUGAAAGGAAUACAAAUUGCACUUGAUGUUAGCCUAUAAAAAAUAAAAAUACUGAUCAUGGACUUCAACUGAGUAUUGAAUCUUCAUCUUUUUCUUCAAAUAAUUUUUUGGCAGCUUUUGUAAACAGGUUAUGGACCUGUCAGAAAGAGGUUUAAGUUAGAACUUUUGUUCACACUUUUUAGAAGAAAAAUUUCAGCUAAUGUAGCAUACCUGCUUGGUAGAGAGGCCUAUCUUCUCCAAAUCAUUUAACUACAAAAUGCCAAAACAAAAGCAUCACUAAAAACAUUAUGCUUAUACUUAGUUCAGUAUCUGUAUUAUUAAUAUUCUUUAUACUAACCGAUUUAAGUGGAGUUUCUUCUCUGAGGUCUAUAAUGUAUUCUGCCAUUUUCUCUCCUAUGCCCUGAAGGAAUUGAAUCCCGAAAAUUACAAAAUGAAGAAAAAACACAAGAAAUGAUGAAAUAAAUAAAAAGGGUAGAAAAAGAAGUAGCUAUGGGGCAUUUUUGUGACCAGACAGAAUGUACCUUUAACUCAAGUAGUUCCUCUCUGCAAUUAAGAAUUAAACUCAAAGUUAAUACACUUGAACAGAAGGUUCACAAACUAGAUAUGCUUUAGAUAGUAGGCAAGAUACAAAGGAAGUGUUCGCUUUACCUGCUAGCACUAUUCAAGAAAUCAAGGUAUUCUUGAACUAGACAGUUCUGCAUAUUAAAAAAUGAUGUGAGAAGUGUUGGUUCAAAAAGUCCAUUUGUUAGUGGAGUCAAAUAAGCUCUGCUGUACCUUCAGUGUAGAACUUCGUGUGCUGAAUUUCCCAAGUGGAGUUUCAUCCUUUUGUAUCCCUUUAUUAGUGGAGCAGGUUGCCAGAAAAGGUGUUUGUGUGAAGGACAAUGCCUCAUGGAGUUUUUUAUUAGCAUUGAUGUUGAUGGGGGAGAGUGCUUUUCUUAAAGGACUCUGUGCUGCAUCUUUACACUCAUUAGUAACUGAGUUUACUCCCUUUCUCAAUGGCUCGGCUACAUACAAAGUCAUGUGGCAUUAAAGCUUCAGAAAGCACGGAACACUAUACCAAAGUACCAAUUUAAACUUCCCCCAAAUAAUGUACUUAUUAUCAAGAAUUUUACACAGUGGCAUACCAGGUAGAUUUUUGUAAGAUUCCCAAGCAGCCUUAUUGGCAUCAUGCUCAGUCUCUUUGUUAUCGUUGUCCUUGACACCAGAUGGUGCAUUCUGCAGAGCAUUGAGUAUUAUCAUAUUCAAAGAAAGAUGCAAAGGUUCCUUCACAGUGAAUGAAAAUUAAAAAGAUUAUGAAGAUUAUUAUAUUCAAGAAAGAAAGAUGCAAAGGUUUCUUCAUUGUCAACGAAAAUAAAAAAAUAAAGUAAAAUCCAGGAAGACAACAAAUUCCUUGUUGGAUUUUUUCUUGCUUCUUGUGAUAAUGAUUGUAUUUUCAGUAUGAAUAUGGGUUAACGAACUUCCCUUUUGAUACUCACCUCCAUGAAUGAAUCAAAUGAACCUUCAGCAUCUAGUAAAUUUCCAAAAGCCACAGCAAAGGCCCUGCUAAGUAAAACAUAUAGCAGUGACUAACAGACUCAAUGAGAAAAUUAUUUUCAAUAAUUAUGUAUGCAAGAAUAGGACCCCUAGAGUCACCUUUCAUUAGUAUGUUUAGUAUCUAGGUUGAUGGCAGUUCUUCCCCCCUUCACUGAACUGUUAAAGGUAAUGGAUCUCUUAGCAGGUGUAACGAUGGAAACGGGAGUUUUUUUCAGAAGAGGAGAAUUAAAUGGCCCAAGUCUUUGUGUACUCUUUGUUUUGCCUUUUGAUUCUAACCAAGCUUUCAAUUUUGCUUCCAUGUCAACUUUAACCUUUGGGGUCUCUUGUUUGUGAGCUGAAGUUACAAAAUUUGUGACAUGCCUUGAUCGAGCAGCUAAACUUACAGUAUAAACAGAUUCCUGAUAUUCUCCUGGAUUCUGAAAUAAAAAAUAGUCUACAAUAAAAUUUUGAACCUAACCAUAGUUAACAGUGAAGCAAACUAAUAAUGCUUGGUUGCACAAACUUAUAUAAAUCUCUUAAUCAAGCUCUGUUGUUUAUGCAUAAAAAAAUUUAGUGGACGAACAGAAUAUAAGAGAAGAACUAUAAACUCUAUAGCUUUACCAGGCAAGCAACCAUCAAUGCACGAUUUGUUCCCCCUAGGGAGUCCUGCAAUAUACGGGUCAAUUUGCUUUCUCGAUAGGGUAUUCUAAGUUUAUUGUUGUUCAAUGCAUAUAUCACAUUUGACAGUGCAAAUAAGGACUGGUUUAUCUUUGCACUCUCUUGAAGACGAAUCCCUUCAUUGCAGGUCCUUCUGUUGUCUUCAUUACCUGUUUCAAUAUUAAACACAUAAGCUUAUAACCAUAAGUGCUUCUAAUCCCUUGUACCAAUUGAGCAUGGAAGUAACCUGCCAAGUCAAUGAGAUUCAACUUUCCACAUACAACAGUUCCAGUGCCAUCAGCCGAAGGAGUGGACACAGAUAUCACAAGCACUCCGUGACUCCUACUAGAGACAUCAUUGAGACCUGUGUGGGCAACUUUGCGUCUCCGAACUCCACAUGAGAAAACAUCUUGAAAUUCAGACAUUGUGUUUAUAGGAACCUGAGACAGUCCCUGGAGGUGAAUUUGCCCAUCUUUGUCAUCCCAAAUCGAAAUGUCGUUCGCUUUGAGCUCUAAAAGGUCGUAGCAUCGGUCCAUGUAGACCUCAUAGUAUGAUAUCUGUGCUGUGCUGCCAGUGCUCUGGCAAGUAGACAGAAUCAUAGACAUUGCCAGUGGCAUCAAGCCAGGUUGUUUCUCAGUUCCCUGCAACACCAAGCAUCGGUUCAUCACAAGUGUACAACAUGAAAAUGUAAGAAACUUAAAAAAAGUAUAAAAAUCAAAUACAAGUACUAAAAUUUAAAUGCACCCAGAAUUUUACAUCUAUGUGUAAUUUAAGGAGUCCAAGAGUGGAUAAACUUUUCCAAAUCCUCCUUCUUUUCCCCAUAACCAGGACCUGUGCUAUUGUUAACCAUAAUUAUCCUAAUUCUCACCGUCUUAACUCUAAAUAUGAGUUUGAUUCUGCAUCAGAAAGCCUAAAUGGGGAUCAAAACAAGAAAAUCAAAAGCUAUAUGAACUAGCUUCUUUCUUGGAUAUGGGAACGAGGCAUGCGUGUUGGCUUAUUUGAUGCAAAACCAAACUGGAUACAAGUUCACAUUGACAAGUAGGUACCGCCAAUUAAAAGAAUCUAAGACUGAAAACAGUAUUUUGAAUCUUCACAUGCAACAGUUUGAAUGCUCACAUGCAUAAAACCUAUAACUUUUAAAUAGCAGUUGACAACCACGAUUGCAGCGGUAAAAUUGUAGUCUUUUGAUAUCUCUGUAACUGCAUGCUAACCAUAAUUUAAAACCAUACUCAUAAUACUUACUAGCAAGACAGUGAUCGGUAAAAAUAUAACUAGGAUCCACGCUAUUGCUGAACCUCAUAAUACAAAAAUCCUCAUCAACCUCUUAACUCAAAAUUCAGAAAUUGCUCAAAGAUAAACUAAUUCAUACAUCUAGGUAAAUAAAUGUAUAAAAAAAGAAAAGUGUGACAUAUUGACAUUGCAAAUCACAGGACAUUAGCUUGUAAUAUCCCCAUGAAUUAAAAACCUUAUUGCAACAAAGUGAAGUACAAGUUUCCUUAAAGAUCACACUCACACCUGCAUAGUGUAUGUCUUCCCACUGCCAGUAGCCCCAUAAGCAAACACAGUGGCAUUGCAUCCACUGAACAUUCCCGGAAUCAAGGGACUCACUUCGCUGCAGAAUAUAUGUCCUACAUUGUUAUCUUCUUGCCCAAAGAAAGAGUCCAACUUGUAGCACUCAUUCCGGCUAAGGUAAAAGAUAAAAAAAAAAACUGAAACAGUUAGAACCCCACAUCAUCAAAACCAAAUUUCACCAACCGAAAAAUCCAAAGGUGGGAACUUUAUCAGACCUGGAUUGUGGGUCUUUGAGAUAAACAGCAACCUCUUCCUGCGGCAACUCGAAAUCUUGUUCCAAGACGGAGAUGCAAGAAACAGGGUCGCCGUUUUUUGUUGAGGUUUCGUGUGCGAGGAAGGGUCUGACCCUGACGAUGACCCUCACUUUGGAAACUGAAAUUGAGGUGUCGGAGGGUUUUUUAGGGGUGAAAGAUUUGAUGGGUGUUGGAGUAGCAGCCAUAGUUGGAGGCAGAAAAAGGUUCAGAAUUUGAUGAGAAUGUUGAAGAUUUUAAUCUGUGGUGAAUUCAAGUUUGUGAAGUGAUAACUAGGCACAGAGAGAGAGAGAGUGGGAGAAGAUUUUGAAUACACACGACCGUUGGGUUUGCAGAGUGAAUUUGAGGCACUUUUCAUUUAAAUUUGAGCAUCAUAGAAAAUGGCCCCCUUUGUUUGUGGGACCCAUAUACCAUUCUUAAAACUCAAUUUUAGAAACAAAUUUAUAUUAUAAUAUUAAGGUUAAUAGGCAAAGAUAUAAUUCAUAAAUAAGUUGAUUGAAAAUUUAAUAAGAAGGUGCUGAUAUUGUUAAACAAUAUAUUAUAAUAAUAUUUUUUUUCUUUAACCAUUGUCAGUGAUAAUUAACAUAAUUUUCAUUUAAUAUAAUUUUUGGUAAAAUUUCCUGGAAUCAUUAGUGUUGUUAUAUUGAUUAGUGCGUCUCAAUGCUGCUAUAAAUGUAAGUGAAUGUUACUUGUAAUACUUUAGCUUUUGUUAGAUUUUGUUGUUGAAAAUUAUUUUUAUUUUAUGUAAUAAACAUGUAUUAACUAUUCUAUAAGGUUAUUUUUAAUAAGAGUUAUGUAGUUGUAUUUGGUAAAAAUUUAUUACUUCAGUGAUAGAUAUUUCCCUUGAAUAAUUUUAUUGUUCGUAUGCAGUGUUGUAGUUUGACUGCUAGAGAAUUGUAAUGAUUUAUAAUUUGCAUAAUAGGUUAAUAAUAUAUCUGGUUAAGAUAUAAAAACUUCAAUAAAAAAUAUAGAAAUUUUAUAAGAACUUAACUUUUGAAAAAAAUUCUGAUAAAACCUAAAGUUGGAAAAGUGUUUAUUAGAAUUUUUAAAAUUUUGUCUUAAUUUUAGUAUAUUUAGAUUACUUAAUAAAAUUUUCUACCUAAUUUAAAAGUAGACUGAAAGUUUUAACCAAUCAAACACAUAAAGAUAUUCUUAAUUGAUUAAAUUAGUAUUAGUUAACAUAUUUAAAUAUAUUAAGAUAACUAAUCUUUGAAGUAUUUUUUGGGUGUAGAUCUCAUGGUGGCAUUAGUUUCUUAUAAUUAAUUAGUUUGAUAGAUGAUAAAAUAAUUCUAGAAAAUUUCAUAAAUUUUCCCAAAAUGGACACAUUGUAUAUCUUAUAAGUUUAAUAAAGAUGGGAACUUAAAAGAGAGAAGAAUAAUGCAAAAUAGGAGGAAGACUAACACGUAAGGAUGAUAAAACAAUUUCCUUUCACAUAUAUCUAUCUAUACGUAAAUUUUGCAACAAAUACUAAAUAUUUACCUUUAAUAAAUGCUUGUGGAUAAUGGAUGUUAAGGAAUAAAUGAAAUUUCACAUAGAUACAAAUUUAAAUUUUAAAUUUGAGAGUUAUUUAAUACAUUCACAAUUAUGAUAAUAACAAAUAAUAUCAUAUAUUUUAGUAUGUUUAAUGAUUUGUCUAAUGAUAUAAAUAUAAAAGCCUUUUAAGACUAAGAAGAAUAAAUGAAGAGUAGUUGAAGCACAAAGUGGAGUUUAACAAAGCCUAAUCCAUACAAAGGGUGUAUAUAGAGGUAUAAAUGAACAAGACUUAUUUAAGAGAGUAGAUGAAGUAUGACCUUGUAAAGACAAAAUACAAGAGAAAAAGAAUAAAUGAAGUCUUUUAUAUGUGUACAUCAUCAAAACACAUAGAUUAAAUAUGAAGAUCUUCUAAGAGUCCCAAGUUCACUAAAACACAUCAUAAAGUUGAUUUUGUCACAAGUGAACAACCAUUUAAGUUUGUUUGCUCAAUUUAAUUUUUCUCGAAGAAUAAAGAAAAUUUAGAGAAAAAAUUGUCAUUUACAUAACACUUUAAGUACAACAAUAAAAUGUGUUAAUAUAAAGUCAAGCAUAUUUUGAAAAGACUUUGACAUAAGAACAAGUGAGAGCAUCAAGUACAAGGGUUCAAUUUAGGACCUCUAUAAAAGGAAGUUUCCUCAUAAAAAAAAACACUAAUGAGCUAAUGAACAUAUGAAUAAGUAAACAUACACCUAUUAUUUGAACUUUGCAUGCAAAUUCACAUAAUUCUUAGUGGUUAUAAAAAUAUCUCAUAUACUGGAUCACUAAUAGAGUGCUUUGUUUGUAAAAUCCUUCACACUAAUGAAAUUAACCUUUAGAGCUAUGAAGAUUAUUUGUAUAUCAUCUCAUUGAGAGUUUUCCUUGGAAUAUUUCAAAACAACUUUUGUUAUAUAUUUAAGAGUGACUUUGUAUACUUAGCUAAAAGUGAAUUAUAUACUCAUGCUUAAUAUUAUGAGGAGAUUAGUAGAUAACUAAGAGUGACUUUGUGUACUUGUUGUAGCCAGAAAUGACAUGCAAUAUUUCUAAUCAAGUUUUGAUUAGUGAAAUCUUUUACGAUUAAAAAAAGAGAACUAGGCGUAUCAUAGGUUUAGGUGAAUCAGUAUAAACUAAAGUAUUCAUUAUUAUUUUAUAUUACUCGAGUUAUUUGCUCUUGGUUGUCUUUUGACUUUUGGGCAGAACAACCAUAAUGCAAUUAUGAUCACAAAAUAAAUACAACCCUAAUUUAGACUACGUGACGAUAUAUUAAUUACAUUUGACAAAAUUGAACUGGUAAAUAUUAAAAUAACGUGUGAGCUCUAAAAGGGGUUGAAUAAAGAAUUUAAUUUUUUUCUCAAAGCUUUUCAGAAGAUAGAUAUGAGUAAACGAUAUGAUCUUAGUGUCUAAUGUUCAAAAAGGUUCCAAAAUGUUUUUGCAUACACCUCUGGAAGGAUGUAGAAGUGUAAUAGAAACAAAUAACAAAAAUAACAAUGAAAACUUGUUUUUGUAAUUAUUCAUUCAAACUAAAUUAUAUCUAGUUCUCCUUUAAAAAUUCUAAAAGAUUUUAUUAUAAUCAAACUGAUUACACAAAAUCACUCUUGAUUAGAUAAAAAAUCACAUGUAACACCAUUGUGUCUUCUUCUUAUUUCACAAUUAUUAGAAAAACUAGGAAAUUAAGUUUAUCAAAUAAUUGUCUUUUUAUUCACUAAAAUAAUUCUCCCAUUUUUUUAUCAUAAAAUUGAUUCAAUAUUUAUUCCUAAAGUUUAAAAAAAUCAAUUUUAAUUUGUAAGAUUAUAAUUAUUCUAUAAAAUUCAACAAAGUAUAAAAGAUAAUUUUUGAAAGCAUUAGCCUCACAAAAUACUUUGUUUAACGGAACAAAAGCAUAUGUUAUAUAUAUAUAUAUAUUACUCAUAAUUUUAAAAUAAAGUAACUUAAUUUAACAUACAUCACAAAAUAAAUUAAGCUUUAUUAGCUAUAAGUUUUCAUUUAACAAGGCUAAAGUCGUAUAUUUCAUACAAAAAUCAGUGUGAACUAAUCUCAUUGUUAACGUUUGUGUUCUUGUUCUCUUGCUCUAAAUAAAGAAAGUAAGUAAGGGUGAGUCUUUCCCUUACCUGUAAAACUUUACCAUAUAUCUCAAAGUUUUACAGCAUAAUUAGUAAAAUAAAUUUGCAAUUGAUUGAAACAACUUCUAAAAGAAAAUAUUGAAAUCAUGAAUCAUAACAAAUCACACCCAAAAUAAAUCAAGUUAAUCACAAACUCAUUUAUAGCAAAUAACAUAAAAUUUUGCUAUAAAUCCAUGUAUUUUAUGUUCAAAAGUUUGACCCUUUCAGUUAUUCAUCUUUUAGUAAUCAUAUUCUAAUAUUUUAAGUUCAGAUCCAUCAUCAAACUCCUAUCAUAAUCAUUAUUUAAGUAUUUAGGACCCUUAAAUACUGUCAUUAUAACUUAUUUAAGUAGGUUGUAGGCUCCCACAUAUAUAAUGUGCGCGCCACCCCACCUUCUUGGUAUAAAAUUAUAGUUAAGAGGAUAGUCAAGAAUAGAGUAUAUGGCAUGUGAUUUAAUAUACUCUACUAAUUUUGUACAUUAAUCCAGGGUAAGCAUAUCAUCACCCUAUAUUUCUCUAGGUUUACCUGACAUUUCUCAAGAUUUUAUACCCAAUGUAUAUCUAUAACUAUCCAUACAAUUCUUAAAAUAUUCAUUGUAAUUUAUUUUAAAUCUCUAUCAUAUUUUAUCUUGUGAUAAUCUUCCCACAUUAAUUUUUCAUGCAAUUGAAAUUUAUUAAUAAAAACUUCGACAACAUAACAAUUACAUUUCAACAAUCAAAAUUACUAGUCAACAAAUAUAGUUCAUCCAAAUACAUAUAUGAUAUCAAAUUAUCAAUGUGCAAGAAAUUGGAGGUAAUCAAAGUCAUUCCAAAUUGCAACAAAAAUUUAUCAAAUUAUACUACAAUCUUAAAAUUCAAAGCACAUAUUUUAGUAUUUUGUGUAUACAUUUAAAUUCUUCAUGCAUUAUUUGACUUAAAAAUAGUAAACAAGGUUACAAAAAAUUAAGUUCAAAACAACAACCAAAAAAAACAUAAUUCUCGCAUAAGCAUUUUAUAACUAAACCAACAAACUUGUUUUAUUUAUAAAUUUUUUCUACAAAAUUUCAAAUGAGGUGAUGUUUUAACCUAACCUUAGAUUUUCAUACCCAAUGAAUUUAUUUAUGAACUCAUAAUUUGAAAAUGAUGUGCAUACAAAUGUAGAAAAGAACUGGACAAAUUGUAUACUUGGAGAAAUAUUUGUCAAAAUAAUUUAGAGAUUGGGAUUGACCCUCUUACCCUAAUGAAGUAAAUGAAAAUCUAAGAUUGAAAUGGAAGGCUUACAAUGACGUAUUUCCUUAUUUAAGUUGCUUCACAAUAAGCUUUAAAAAAGAGAAAAUCAAUUUAUAGAGUAGGAGUUAAAGGAUAUGAAGGAAUGAAUCUUAACUCCAACUCUAAUUGAAUGAAACUAGAUGACUAAGAAUUUAAAUAAUAAAGAAGAUAAGAGGAGAAAAAAAACUUACCUUAGACCUUUCUUUCUCUUGUUGUAGGAAAUUGUGAGGAAGAUGUGAGAGAAGUGGUUGUAAUAUAGGCAAACCUUUAUAUAAAAGGACAAAGAUAAUUUAUAAAAUAAAUGUUUUUAAUUAUUGCAAUUUUAAAGGUUACAACUGGAAAAGAAUAAAGAAAAAUAUUCUUAAACUUAUCCUUUACACUAAACUUAUCAUGUCAUAAGGGUAAGGCACAUCUUACUACUAGGAUAUAUGAAAUUUGUGGUAAAAAUGGGCUAAUCCACUUGUUUCUAUUGGUUUCAAUAGACCAAACAAUAGACUUAAGUUCAUGGGUUUGUAAUACAAAAGUUUACUAUUUUAACCUCCUGUUAAAUUUAAAACCAUGUAUUUAAAAGAAAACAUUUCAAAUGAUUUUUAAUAUAUUUUUACGUCUAUUUCUAUGGAUUACUGAUGAGUUUCAAAAUGGAAGCAUAGUUUUUUUUUUCUAUUUUCUGUUUUUUUAUUUCAAUUUCAGCUUUUAAUUACUAAAUUUUCAGUAAAAAAAAUUAUUGAAUAAAAACUAAUUUUAGAUAAAAAAAAAUAGUUAGUUCUUAUAAUGACUAAAUUAGAGACCAAAGACUAAAAUAAUUUUUUGGUUUCUAAAUUAGUUUUUAUUAUUGUUAAAUAGUUUCUAAAUUGGUAUUUAAUUAGCUACCAAGGUUUUAACUAUCAAUUAUUUAGAUUUCAAAAUUUGGUAGAAAAAAUAUUGGUAGCUAAUUAGAUACCAAUUUAGAAACUAUUUAACAAUAAUAUAAAUUAAUUUAAAAACUAAUUUUUUUAAUUAAUAUAGUAACUAAUUAUUUUUUCUCUAAAAUUAGUUUUUAUUUAAUGAUUUUUUGUAGUGUUUGUUUUUGUUUUUUUAUUUUAUUUAUGUAGUUAAUACAAGUUUUUGUUUAGAAUGCAUUUCAGUUUCUCAUUUAGAUUUACAUUAUCUUCAAUUUCUAUUUUCUUAAUUCUUACUAUUAGAUAAAUUUUUGGUUUACAUGAUCUUCAAUUUCUGUUUUCUUAGUUCUUGUUAUUAGAUACAAUUUUUGGAUUUAAGAUAUGACCGUUGGGUUUGCAGAGUGAAUUUGAGAGUCACUUCUCAUUUUAAUUUGAGCAUCAGAGAAUAUGGUCCCCUUUGUUUGUGGGACCCAUAUACCAUGCUUAAAACUCAAUUUUAGAAACAUAUUUAUAUUAUAAUAUUAAGGUUAAUAGGCAAAGAUAUAAUUCAUAAAUAAAUAAGUUGAUUGAAAAUUUAAUAAGAAGGUGCUGAUAUUGUUAAAUAAUAUAUUAUCAUAAUUCUUAUUAUUUAACCAUUGUCAGUGAUAAUUAACAUAAUUUUCAUUUAAUAUAAUUUUUGGUAAAAUUUCUUGGAAUCAUUAGUGUUGUUAUAUUGAUAAGUGCGUGUCAAUGCUGCUAUAAAAAUAAGUGAAUGCUACUUGUAAUACUUUAAUUUUUGUAGUUUCGUUUAUGUAGAUAUUUUAUUUUGUAAAUUAUUGUAUGUUUUAUGUAAUAAACAUGUAUUAAGUAUUCUGUAAGUUUAUUUUUAAUAAGAGUUAUGUAGUUCUAUUUGGUAAAAAUUUAUGACUGGUUUACUAAUUUUAUUAUUGGACUCAUUGGGAGAUGAUUUAGGAUCAUUUGGCCAUACUAUCAUCUUUCUCACGAAGACGAUUUAACAUUAGUUAGAUGGUUUACGCUAGAAUCAUUCUAAUUUGACUGCUAAAUAAUAACAAUCAAUAAACAACUUCACCAUUUACAUUUCAGUUUUUAGUUAUUCUUGGUUUUCUAGUUUUAUUCAGUUUAUACUUUUGAUCAUCCGAGUUCUUCAUUUUCUCUCUUCUUUGUCUCAUGUUUUCUCUUGUACUCUUUACACUUUUAUCUCAUUUUAUGCUUUCUAAUUUGUGAAUUUAGAUUUGAAAGUUGAUUGAAUUAUGAAAAUGGAUAACAACAAAUACGAAAUUGUAUUAGACGAUGCUCCAUUUCAAAUUUUUUUUCUUCUUUGAAAUCGUUUUAGAAUUUAGUUCUUGUUUAAGAAUCAUUUUUUUUUAUUGUUUGGUUAUGUGUUUUCUUCAUUAAACAAUGAAUCCAAAUAUGGGUUUCUCGCAUUCAAGGUUGAAGAUAACUUGACCAUGAUUUAUAUUUAUUAUUGCACAUUUCUUGAAUGAAAUUUUAUUUUCUUUACUGCGAUUCCUUUUAAUUUUUGUUUGUUUACAAUUAUGUGUUUUACAUUUUUAGUUUAUGCACUUAAUUCAUUUCAAUUAUAAUAUAAAUUCCAGUCAUGCUUUGUUUUCUAUUUCUCAUUUUUUACAGUUUUAGUUCAUUAGACGGUGUCGUCUCGCUUGUAGUCUUUUUGUUUCCUUUUAAUUUCUAUUGAUUACAGUUCUUUUCGUUUACAGUUUUUGCAUUCUACAUUUAUGUUGUUUAUGGUUUAGAGUUUAGGAUUUAAGGUUUAUGGUUUUAGGGUAGAUAGUUACACUUGUUUUACAUUUCACAAAUUCAUAUGUGUUUUAUGUUAGAAUUAGAGGCCUUAAAUAAGAGAGGAGUGAAUUGUUCAUGAAAGAUUUUUGCAAGUAUUGAAGGCAGAGUAAAAAGUUAUGAAGAAUUAAUCAAUGGAAAAUAUGUUAAGCCAAAUAGAAAAUUGUUUUUAAACUUGAUUCCAAAAAAUCAACCUAUUGUUUUCACGAAACAAUCGUUUGUUUAUACCAACAGAUUUGAAAACCAAAGAUAAAACAGUUUAAUGAGUGUAGGGAUAGAGAAAUUCACACAAGAUGUUCAUACUGGUUCACUCUUAACCAAGAGUUACAUUCAGUCCUCAACUAACCACUGCGAAUUCACUAUGUAAUCAAACCUAGAUUACAAAUCACACACCAAAAGUGAUGAUCUUGAACCCUUCAAGAACACACACCACUUUUGGCCAACCACACAGUUUUCAGAAACACCUUCAGAAACUGCAGCACACCAGAACACACAGAAAUACAAUGUUCAUAGAAGAGAAAAAAAAUACACCUGGGUAAAUCAAAGAUUAAAGUUCAUAAUUACAAGAGAAUCUUAUUCCACACUUGAGAUGAUCCAAAAGCUCUUUGAAAUCUUGAAAAUUGUUUUUGAUUGAUCUAUCUUUCUUAGUUAAUGCAUAGGAGCAUAAAACAGCCUUUUUAUACUCCAAUCAGAUGGUCAAAACAGUUAAAUCAAGAACCAAAAGCUGUUGGAAUCAUUUAAAACAGAUUGAAACAUCCUAACAGAAUUCUGUUAAGGUUUCCAGAAAAAAACAACCAGUUGAAUUCUCGAAACAACCGGUUGAAUUAGUUUGAUAGCAAAGUCAAAACAAAGCCAAGCUUUUCAAACCCAUUUUAAAAGCCACUAAGUGUUAAACAAUCGAUUGAAUAGACAUUUCAACAGGUUGAAAUUUCACACUCUUUAGAAAAAUCAUCUUUUCAAAAGGAUUAAGAUUCAAUUAACAUUGGAUCAUCUUAAAGAGUGGAUUAACAAUUUAAAGACUAUUAGACACACAUAAAAAACCAACAACACAGUCUUCAAGCGUUCAUCUUGGAUUGGGAGACAUCAAAACACGUUGUUCAACACUUUACCUUUUGUUUUAAAUUUGGAUUGUAAUUUUAAUUCACUUUACAUUCAUGUAUUACUUGAAUCGUCUAACAUAAUUUUAAUUUAACCAUCAAAUACAUGUUCUAUUUUGUUUCUGCACUGUAAUUUUAGUUUUUGCCAAUUUAUUUCCAAUUUUUUAUUCACAAUUCUAGUUUUCAUCUAAUUAUGAUACACAAUUCAGUUUCUAUAGUUGAAAUGUUGGUAAACGGUAUGAUAAAUGAUUGUCAUUAGGCAGUUUACUUUGUACUAUUUUUUUCUUGUUUAUGUUGUAAUUUGUUUUUGAUCCUAAACAUCUUUCAAACCCCCAAUACUUAAUUUGCUAAGAAAUAAAUUCUUCAAAUGAACUUAAUGCACUUAUGUUCCUUGGAUUGACCUAGGUUGACCCUAUACUACAUUAGGGAGGAGCUUAUUUUUACUUGAAAAUUGAAUAUGACAAACAUUUUAUCAAGGACCUUAUGGAGAAAACUUGGAACUAAACUUUUCUUUUAUACUACUUGUUAUUCCCAAACUGAUGGUCAAACAAAAAUGGUUAAUAGAACUUUAUCUUAACUAUCAUAAUGCAUGAUAUUUAGGAAGCCAAGAGAGUAGGAAUACCUCUUAGCUCAUAAAGUUUGCAUACAAUAUAGUAGUCACCACCAGAACUUCCCAUUCUCCUUUUGAAGUUGCAUAUGGGUUCAAUUCCUUAACACCUCUUGAUUUUAUACAUCUUCCAAACUUUAACUUUAUAUUAUGCAAUGAUGGAUUUGAAAACUCACAAUUUGUUAAAUAAUUGCAUACUAAGUAAAAGUCCAAAUGGAGAGAAGGUUGAUUAUAAGUCUAAACAUGUCAAUCAAGGAAGAAAGGAAGUCAUCAUUGAACCACGAGAUUGGGUUUGGUUACUUGAGAAAGGAAAUAUUUCCCUCUUAAAGGAAGUUCAAACGUCAACCAAGCAGUGAUAAACAUUUCCAGGCCCUAAAAAUAAUAAAUAAUAAUGCAUAUGAGUUAGAUGUAUCACAUGAUUACAUAGUUAGUUCGUAACACAUUUAAUGUGUGAUCUUAAUCCUUUUGAUGUAGGCUUUACAAAUUCAAGGAAAAUUUUUCUCCAAAAGGAGUAGAUGAUAAGUUUAUGAGUGAAGACAAGGAAAAGAGUAAGAACACAACAUUUAAAAAAGGAUAAGAAGAAGCAUGAUAAGAAAAAAUAUUACUCACAAAAAUAGUUGUUUAGUUUCUUUAUUUUUUAUUUCUUAAACUGAAAAUAUAGGAUUUAAAUUUUCUUUAAUUGUAAAAUAGUUACAAAUAAAUAUUUUUUUUAUGUAAUUAAGCCUAAUAAGCUUAUUAAGUUUGAUACAAAAUCAUUGGUAAAAAAUCAAGGUCUCCAAAAUAAAAAGUGUUUAAUUUCAAUAAACAAUUUACAAUCUAUAACAAAAUUUUGUAAAAGAAAUAUAACUAAAAUUAACGCAUCAUCAACUUUAAUGGUGAAUGAUCACACUAAAGACAAAACACAAGGAAUUAUUUUAUACAUUCAAUAUUAAUUAUAUAUACACAAUUUUAUAAACCAAUAACAUGAUAAAAUACAGAAGUUUGCUUCAUUUAGCAUGGUUGAAAUGUACUUUCAUACAAUAGAGCAACUUCCAUUCUCUUUCUAGAUAAUGACAAAUAAAAUCAAUGGUCAUGAUCAUUAUAUUUUAUCAUAAUAACUGAAUAAAGUUCACUCGUAUAAUAUAAGGUUAUUUUUCAAUGGUGAUGAUCAUUAUAUUUUAUCAUAAUAACUGAAUAAAGUUCACUCGUAUAAUAUAAACAUAAUAUAGAGUUAUUUCUCUAAUUAUUCCUAGAAUCUAUCUUCUAUUAUAUACAAACAAAAAUCAUAAACCAUCUUAGAUGUAACUAUUAAAAUAAUCAUAUUGGUAGAGCUACUUUUCCUUAGAACUAGAGAUACUUUUAAACACUUUGCUUAGAGCUACUUUUCCUUUACACAAAUAAAUUAUGUUAUUUGGUAGUGAAAGAAAAAAAGCUUAAAAAAAAUUGCAGAUAAGUUCAUGAAUAUUUAUACUUUGUGAAUUUAAUGGGUAAUUUUUCACUAAGUAUUUUGUGUGUGUAGAAUACCUAAUUUUAAUUUAGAAGGUUUCAAUUUUGAUGUUUUAAAUAUUUUUUAUUUUAGAUACAAGAGUGAGUAACAUGAUAUAUUUAGUAUGGUUGACUCUAUAUUUAUUUUUUUUAGAUAUUUUGCAUAUUAUAUUAUCUAGUAUGUUUAAGAUAGUUAACUUUGCUGUUUCAAUUAUUAAAUCAGUUAAACUAGUUCAACAUCGUUCACUUACCACCUAAAUUUAAACUUUGCAAAUAAAAUAAUUGAGAGAUAAUAUUUUACUAAAAAGGAUUGUUCAAACUUGAUAAUGAAGAUUAAUUAUCAAUAAAACUGGUAGAUAUUUUUUUUAUUAAAAACAUGGUUAUAAAAGAACUUUUAUAAGAUUAAUAUUCUUACCUUCCAAAAGAAAAAGAGAUUAGUUCUUAAAUAUUUUUGAGUCACCCAGUUAUUAAUACAUUUUUUUAAAAAACUUUCGUAAACCUUAUCUUCAUCAAGAAGCUAGACUGAUUUAGUAAAAAUUAUCCUUUCAAUAAUUAUGUUUUAUCCAUUCAUAAACCCAAAUUCCCAACAACAUAUCAAUAAAUUAAUUCUUAGAUUUUGAUGGUAAUUAAAUAAAUAAUCUCUUAAAAAAAUAAUUAAUCAUAUUAAUAAGUUAUCUACAUUCAAUCAAGUUUGUUAAUUUUAACUAAUAAAGCAUAAAUUUAAAUUUAUGUAAGAAAUAUUUGUAAAUUAAAUGGUUUAAGUGUUAACCAUUAUUUUUUUUGUCACCAUGUUCUUGAAACUUUCAUGAUAAAUAAUUUUCAUGAGAGAAAUUGUAUGACUACUUUUAGUGUGAUUUUUCAGUACAAUACUCUUUUUCAUCAACAUGUUUAAUAUGGAAUUUAACUUAAUACAUUCUUUUCUCUUGAUUAACAUAAUCCACAAAUGUCCUACAAUAUUUAAUUCAUGCUAUGUGACUUUCACUAAUUAAUAGUUUUAAUGACAAUACUUCUAACACAAAUGAUAUUUUUUCCAUCAGUAAAUGUUCACAUGCAUGGAAAAUUAGUGAACUAUUGUCUCCAAAGUAAACUUCAUAAUAAAUUAAGUGUAUAAAAAGGAAUUAACAAUAUAAAUCUAUGUUUGUCACAAUUAGUACAAAAGACACACCUAUUUAUUUCUCAUAUAAAACAUUUAUUUAUUUAUUUUAAUAAAGUAAACAUAUAAUAGGAUUAUCUAUUUUUUUUCUAUUUACUGAAUUGGAUUUGUGUAGGUACAUCCUCGUUAUUUUAGAGGAAAUUUUAUAAUAAAAAAUAAUAUAUACAGACUAAAUUGUAUAAUAAAUUUAUUUAUUUGAAGAAAAAAUAUAUAAAAAAAAAUAUAAAAUAUCAUUUGAAAAAUAAUAAAAAUAAAAAGUAUUAUUAUAUAAAUUAUUACAUAAAUAACAAAUGUAUUUUAUGACAACCCUUUCUUUUAAUAGUUGCUAUCAUCCAAACCUAAUAUAUUAUUAUUUUAUAAUAUAUUAUUAUUUUAGUUAUCAAUAAUUAAUAUAUUUUUUUAACCUUCUAACAACUAGUUAGAAGUUUUUUUCUUAUACCUCAAAUCCCUACCACUCCUCUUAUCCAACGGCCGAAACUUGUUCGACCUUUAUCGCCGUCACGCCUUAAGUGCCGUUUGAGUUUCAAACUUUUGUUCCCCUAGGUAACGUUCACAACAGCCGUUAAAUGACGGGCUCUGAAACAACGCCCGCACCCCUAACGGUAAUUCACGCGACGUUACGUCGGUGCUCCAACAUUUAUUAUUAUAUAUUGUUAUUAUUAUGGUUAUGUGUAUAUUCGUCACACAUACACUCAUUUACGUAGUAAAUAAAUAAAAUUCUAUUUUUUUUUAAAACUAAAUUUCAAUUUCCAUUGUUUCAACGUUCGAGGAUUUUUCGAAACCUUAGCUCAGAGAAGAGAGAUAGAGAAGCCAUCGUGGUUUCUCUUCUAUGAGCUUCACUUCGAUUCCCGCCACUUCUCUGCAAGCAUAGGUACUUCACUGUUGGGAGAAAUCACGAUUCUUUUUUUUUUCUCGAUUUAUUUUUAUUUCUUAUCUGUUUCCGUUUUUUAUUUAUUCUGCCAAAUUCAGAUGUUAAUUUCCUUUUAUUGAUUUGAUCGAGUCUUUCCGUUUCCUUUUGCUACAAAGACUCCGAAUAGAUUUUGUUUGAGUGGAGCGUUACCAUGUUUCGUGUGAGAAUUCUUUUGGGGAGGGGGUAUUGAAGGUUUUGAUCUGAUAAUAGAUUUUAAGAUCUGGCUUCUGCUUAAAUUUGUCUUUCACUGUGAAAGUUUAGAAAAUUUUCAAUUUGAGCUGGGUUUUUAUGAUGUUUUGAUGGUUGGUGUACGGUGGGUUGUUCUGAGAAUUUAUGCUUUGUUUUUUUUUUCUUUUAACAAAUUUUCUUUUAAGGAUAUGAGCUAUGGUUUGUUUAUUAUGAUUUUGAGCUCUUGAAGGAUAUGGCUGAGGUGGUGAAAUCGGAGGAGUGUUGCCUGGAGAAUAAGCAGUCUACUGCUGCUUCUUGCUCCUCUGUUUCUGAAGGCAGUGGCAGUGCAAUUCACAAGUCUCCUGGGAUAUGUAGCCCUGCAUCCACAUCACCUUCCCAUCGGUAACAUCCGUUAAGUUCUUUACUUUUUCAUUGCAGUAUCAGUCAUGAACUGUGAUCAUUAUGCUCUACCUUGAUGGCAGUUUUCUUUGCUGCAUGUUUUAUACCUAUGUGGAGUGACUGAUUCCCUUCAUACUGUGGAAAAUUUUCUCCACAAUGAAUCCUUGCUGUGUUAUAUAUGCAUUGACUUUUGUUACAUGAAUGUUUUUGGCACAGGCGGACCACUGGUCCUAUCAGGCGUGCUAAGGGUGGUUGGACAGCACAGGAGGUUAGUCUUUACUCAUUGGAGACAGAUGCUGAUUUUUUAAUCAUCAAUUUUUUUGGUUAGAUAUGUUCUUGGUUGUUAGCAAGCUGAUUAAAUAGUGAAUUCAACUCAGUUGAUUUUAUUUCUGUGCAAGUCUAGUUCAAAAUUGUUAUGCUUGUCCUUUCAAUUAUUGCUGGUCUUAUAGAAGUUAAUCAUAACAAAAAUUAUUAUUAUUUUUCUUAAUAUUUUAUUUAACAUGAUGCAGGAUGAAACAUUAAGGAAUGCUGUGGCAGUUUUUAAGGGAAAAAGUUGGAAGAAAAUAGGUAUUUGUUAAUAGUUACCGCAGUUAGUCCUUCGGAGUUCUGACAUAACUUGUUAUUGCUGAAUUACUUUUUUCGAGACAUCUGGUUCAAUAAAUCACUAAUGACCUUUAUAUGUGAUUUUCAAAUUCAUAGAAGAAAUGGAAUACACUCUAAGAUUGAUUAUGUAUACGAGGAAAUGAAACACAUUCAAGCAACAUGUGGGCAAUCAUCAAUGAAAUUAAUAAUUCAUUGAUUACAUUUGUAUGAACAGUAGAGGGAAACUGUACAUUCAUAUUAACAAGCUAAAAAAUGUGCUUCUUUUAUUGCUUUAAUGGUACAUGCUUGUGUAUAGCUCUAGCUCACGCAUCUCCCAAUGAAGAUUCUCAACCAACUGUAGUUACAACAAUACUGUCUGCACUGGUAGUUUUUUCAUUCCUGGGACAAGGUGAAUAUGUGAAGUGUUUGGACCAGUGUCACGUGGUCUGUUGCUCAUGAAUCCAAUAUCCAUAACUGGGUUGAAGGUAGUUCAGAGAUAUUUAAUCGAAAUGGGAAUGGGAGCUUACCUGAAUAUGCCAAAACAAAUAAGUACCUGUUGGUUUAGGCUUCCAACCCUUUGUAUCCCUUCCUGAUUAGUUUGUUGAUUUUCAGGCUUAUUCUCUUUGUUAGUUCCAGCAACAGCAACAAGAGCAUGUCCUUUCUUCUUUGCAUUGUCCCCAUUCUUGAUAAUAAGAGGUUUUCGAUGCACUUUCCAUCAUUUCUCUUGGGUGUAAUGUGCAGUAGGUGCAUGUGCUCACAAUCCAUCAUUCUUCUAUUUUCAUGUUUUUGAAACCACUUCAAUACGCCAGCCACCAUAGCUGAACUGUCAAUAGUUGGGGUAUCUGACAUUAAACUCCUGCUGUCUUUCACAUUGUGAAAUAGUCAGCACGUCACUGAAAAUUUAGUUUGUUGUUUUCCCAAAAUUUGAAUUCUGAUUUAGUAAAGCUGGAAUUAAUACCAACAAGGAAGUAUUCAGUUAUGCUCAAUAAUUUUCUUCAGAACUGUUGCGUUAUCAGAGCAUUUAGUUUUUAUCACUUUAUAAUGAUCUAUAUCAUCAUCCAUAGAGACUUCAGUUGAUUGUGACAUUCAAUAACUGUUUUGAUCCCUUGUUUCGUCACUACUGUUAUCCACUAUAUUUCUUAUACUUGAACAGCCUCUUUGACUUUGGAAUAGGUUUAUUGCAUCCCAUGUUUCAUCUGCAGUGUUGAGAACAAUGCAAGUGUCUCUAAUUUCUGGGAUCAUUGAAUUCCAGAGCCAAGCUGUUAUCAUGGAGUCUUCUAUCCCAUGCUGCAAACUUAGGGUCAACAUUGAUAGGCCGGUUAGUAGUUAGGUGAAUCUGAUUUCCUUUUCCUUUCAACACUGUACAGACAAGUUGAGACCAUCUUUUAUAGUUCUUCGAAUUCAGCCAAUACACAGAACAGAUACUUAGCAAAGCCCACACCACAUGAUCAAAGUUUGUAGGUUACACAUUGAUAAACCGGUGCAUAUAUGUAACUGGAAGAAGAAAUUAUCAUGUCAUGAUUGCCUAUCGGAAGGAGAAUGACAAGCAGAGAAUUAUUGGCACUGAAGGCAAAUUGACUUUGGAAGGAUUUUAGGGUUUCAGUAGAAGGUACAUGAGAUGUAGUCUGUCAGGGGACGGGAAGAGAGAGUAUCAAAAAGGUAUACUCUAGAAGGAAUAAGACAAGUAAUAAGUGAUUAGGAGGGUAGUAUAAAUAAGAGGGGAAGAUAGUGGCGAGGGAUUAUGAAAUUUCUAACAGACAGCUGUAUUUCAGUUGCAAAGUGAACAUUUCCUUGGAAGGGUGUUUUCCCUUGAGAAGUGAAUCCUUGUUUUUUUAAUUCUUUUCCACUGUCUGUACUU